UUUUUCGAUUUCACUCGGAAAGCAGAUAAUUAGCUCUCCUCCCCUUACCCUCCUCCCCUCCUCGCUCAGCCAAUAAGACUCCCCUCGUGGGUGGACUUGAUGAGGGCGGAUGUGCUGGGAGCAGCCUCCGAGCGGAGCAGAGGCGCUGAUUGCCAUAAAAGGACUGGUAGAGCCAAUCUUUUUUCGUCCCCAGCUCCUUUCAGACCUGCUGCGGGGGCUUUUUGGAGUCCAGCAGGCGCCUUGGGGACCCGGCUCAUUCUUGAGAAGGGCGGUCUGCAAAAAGUACAGCCCAUAGUUUCUCCCAUGUCUGGUCUUUGCUGACAUCUCUUCUGAAAUAGCAAGUACUUUGAAUCUCAUCGUUCGGUGCUUGUAAGGUCAACAAACAUUCGUUAAACUCCUACUAUGUGCCAGGAAGGACCUGUGUAAGCAAGAGUAACUGGGUGCAGUCUGCCAAGACACGCUAUUGCCAAGGCUAAAAGCUUCCACGUUCAUUGGGCUGAAUGUAAAAGAAGCAUAUGCUCAUGAGAAAAGUUUCUGGGAAUUUGUAUAAGAAGCAUAUGUUCAUGUAAAGAAUCUUGCUAAUGGUUUUGGUGAGUCAUCAUAAGUCCAGUGGCAAGACAAAAAUCAGAAUGACUGGUGAUGGCCCAGGAUGUAGUGGAUGACCAUGGCAUCUUUGAUGGUUGACCAAGAUCUAAGCAGUUGCCUUCAUGGCCUACUCUGCUGGGGGAAGUCUUCACGUGUUUGGGGUAGACAUCCCCCUAACUCACCCAUGGGUUUGAGACUCAUCUGUUGGUUACCCUCAACCUCGUUUAGCCCGUUUGCUGACACAUUUAAGCGGGGGUGGCCACUGCACAUGCUACAGCUUCUUGAAGCAGCAAGUGAGAGCGCCAGGCAAACACCAGGGUGGAAGAGCGCCCCAAAAAGGGCUCAGCAAGCCCUCACACCAGAGAUGCUAGUCCAUCUUGACACCCUGUAUAUCCCAUUGGCUCACAAGGAGCGAAUGGGAGAGCCAACAUGCAAACAACCACAGACAAACAAGAUAUAAACAAAACAAAUUGGAGAUAAUCAGUA